rnacentral:rRNA from 1 species
UACAGAGGUCUCAAGCGUUGUUCGGAUUCAUUGGGCGUAAAGGGUGCGUAGGCGGCGCGGUAAGUCGGGUGUGAAAUCUCGGAGCUUAACUCCGAAACUGCAUUCGAUACUGCCGUGCUUGAGGACUGGAGAGGAGACUGGAAUUUACGGUGUAGCGGUGAAAUGCGUAGAUAUCAGGAGGAACACCGGUGGCGAAGGCGGCCCUCUGGACGGAUACUGACGCUGAGGCGCGAAAGCGUGGGGAGCGAACAGG